UGCAGAAGACACUCCUUGUCGUCAUUGUGGUCGCCGCCUGUGUCGUGGCCAUCUCUGCACAGGUGGUCUGUCCCGAGGAGUGCCUCGGGCUGGCAGGAGGGUCUCCUGUUACAGAAGACAAACUGCAGUCUGGACACCAUGGAAGGAACCUGCCCCCUCAACGUCGACAAGCGCCAUUUCCUGCCUCAGCGACCACAGCAAGGGGCAAGCCGGUAGACCGGGCAAAUAACAAUACCGCAGUGAAUGAUCCAGGAUUUUGGUCUAAACUGUUUACAAUGAUUAUCGCAAGUCCUGGCUAAACCACGACGCAGGAAGGUGGAUGAGCUCGUACCAGCCCACGACCACACUGACGUAAAACGGCUACUGACCAUUCCAGGCCUGUUGCUGUUAACCACCGUAAUAAAUCAUGACAUCUUCACCAAUCAAUGCAGAAUAUUAGCUAAGGUAUCUAUCGCUCAUUCAAUAAAUUGAGUAAUAACAGCACCAUGUGCAGAAAUAGCUCGCACGAAUAUUAAUUUCCGCAAUUCUAUUGCAAAUAAACUACU